GCUGGCGGCAGGCCUACACAUGCAAGUCGAGCGGUAGAGAGAAGCUUGCUUCUCUUGAGAGCGGCGGACGGGUGAGUAAUGCCUAGGAAUCUGCCUGGUAGUGGGGGAUAACGUUCGGAAACGGACGCUAAUACCGCAUACGUCCUACGGGAGAAAGCAGGGGACCUUCGGGCCUUGCGCUAUCAGAUGAGCCUAGGUCGGAUUAGCUAGUUGGUGAGGUAAUGGCUCACCAAGGCGACGAUCCGUAACUGGUCUGAGAGGAUGAUCAGUCACACUGGAACUGAGACACGGUCCAGACUCCUACGGGAGGCAGCAGUGGGGAAUAUUGGACAAUGGGCGAAAGCCUGAUCCAGCCAUGCCGCGUGUGUGAAGAAGGUCUUCGGAUUGUAAAGCACUUUAAGUUGGGAGGAAGGGUUGUAGAUUAAUACUCUGCAAUUUUGACGUUACCGACAGAAUAAGCACCGGCUAACUCUGUGCCAGCAGCCGCGGUAAUACAGAGGGUGCAAGCGUUAAUCGGAAUUACUGGGCGUAAAGCGCGCGUAGGUGGUUUGUUAAGUUGGAUGUGAAAUCCCCGGGCUCAACCUGGGAACUGCAUUCAAAACUGACUGACUAGAGUAUGGUAGAGGGUGGUGGAAUUUCCUGUGUAGCGGUGAAAUGCGUAGAUAUAGGAAG
rnacentral:rRNA from 1 species